UCUCAUCAUGAGGUUUGACCAAGAUCAGU
rnacentral:piRNA from 1 species